UUCUUGAACUGAAGAACCUUUUGUGUUACUAACCUGGCUCGUGAACUGAUCUGCCAAGAAAAAAUCAGCGAAGACGACCUGCAGAGGACGAAAAGUAUCCAAAAUUAGAGCUAAGUCGAAAGAGGGGAGCACAUAUGCAGCGGUACAGAGUUUUUAAGCAGAAGACGCGACUCGAGCGAUAUAGGAUGUUGAAUGGACACAAGAAGACUGCAACCACAACCUGCAAGCAGGGGUCCAUCUCCAUGUCAAGAUUGGAAAGAACACAGGCUAAAGCAAGAGUCGCCACGGCAAAACUGGGAAGCAAAACGUCACGGUACGCCAAC